AUUGAACGCUGGCGGCAUGCUUUACACAUGCAAGUCGAACGGUAACAGGCCGCAAGGUGCUGACGAGUGGCGAACGGGUGAGUAAUGCAUCGGAACGUGCCCAGUCGUGGGGGAUAACGCAGCGAAAGCUGUGCUAAUACCGCAUACGAUCUAUGGAUGAAAGCGGGGGACCGUAAGGCCUCGCGCGAUUGGAGCGGCCGAUGUCAGAUUAGGUAGUUGGUGGGGUAAAGGCCUACCAAGCCGACGAUCUGUAGCUGGUCUGAGAGGACGACCAGCCACACUGGGACUGUGACACGGCCCAGACUCCUACGGGAGGCAGCAGUGGGGAAUUUUGGACAAUGGGCGCAAGCCUGAUCCAGCAAUGCCGCGUGCAGGAAGAAGGCCUUCGGGUUGUAAACUGCUUUUGUACGGAACGAAACGGUCUGGGUUAAUACCCUGGGCUAAUGACGGUACCGUAAGAAUAAGCACCGGCUAACUACGUGCCAGCAGCCGCGGUAAUAC
rnacentral:rRNA from 1 species